rnacentral:rRNA from 1 species
AUACGGAGGGUGCAAGCGUUGUUCGGAAUCACUGGGCGUAAAGGGCGCGCAGGCGGUUUGGUAAGUCAGAUGUGAAAGCCCACGGCUCAACCGUGGAAGUGCAUUUGAAACUGCCAGACUUGAGUACCAGAGGGGAAAGUGGAAUUCCCGGUGAAGAGGUGAAAUUCGUAGAUAUCCGGAGGAAUACCGGUGGCGAAGGCGACUUUCUGGCUGGAUACCGACGCUGAGGCGCGAAAGCGUGGGGAGCAAACAGGAUUAGAAACCCGAGUAGUCC